AGGGGGCGGGGCCUGGCCCGCGGGCGCCGGAAUCAGCGCCCGAAAUCAGUGCAAAAUCAGCGCCCAAAUCAGUUCGAAAUCAGCGCGGAAUCAGUGCAAAAUCAGCGCGCGGAAUCAGCGCCCAAAUCAGUUCGAAAUCAGCGCGGAAUCAGUGCAAAAUCAGCGCCCCAAAUUAGUGCAAAAUCAGCGCCCGAAAUCAGUGCGAAAUCAGCGCCCCGAAUCAAUGAAAAGUAAUCAGAACCAGUGCAAAAUCAGCGCCCGGAUCAGCGGAGAGGUGUGAGGCAAUGCACCUGGAGAGGUGCAGCACAGCCAGGGACAUGAGAUGCUGCCCAACCCGCCGAGUUCCUCCAGCAGAUUGUGUGUGCUCCAGAUUUCAGCAUCUGCAGUCUCGUGUCUCCAGACAGAAAGAGCAGUUGGAAUGUGAUGUGAAAAAAAACGAGAGGUCAUUCACUCCGAGAGAUAAAAUGGAAAAGCAGUGCAUUUCCUAAAUGGCAUAUCGUAGUUAAUCACAUGCUGAAUAUUUGGGAAGUCCAAGCCUUUUGAUGCCACAUCAGUUGCCACCAGCACAUCCUUGUUACCCUCCCGGAACGCCUCGAUGGCCUUAGUCCGCUCCUCUUGGUCUAGAAAGAAC